rnacentral:rRNA from 1 species
AACGAACGCUGGCGGCAGGCUUAACACAUGCAAGUCGAACGCACCUUUCGGGGUGAGUGGCAGACGGGUGAGUAACGCGUGGGAAUCUACCCUUCUCUACGGGAUAGCUCCGGGAAACUGGAAUUAAUACCGUAUACGUCCUGAGGGAGAAAGAUUUACCGGGGAAGGAUGAGCCCGCGUUGGAUUAGCUAGUUGGUGGGGUAAAGGCCUACCAAGGCGACGAUCCAUAGCUGGUCUAAGAGGAUGAUCAGCCACAUUGGGACUGAGACACGGCCCAAACUCCUACGGGAGGCAGCAGUGGGGAAUAUUGGACAAUGGGCGCAAGCCUGAUCCAGCCAUGCCGCGUGAGUGAUGAAGGCCCUAGGGUUGUAAAGCUCUUUCAGUGGGGACGAUAAUGACGGUACCCACAGAAGAAGCCCCGGCUAACUUCGU